CAGAAAAAGGGUGGUCAGAGAAGCACAUCUUCUCCAGCCACAAACUAUUUCUCCCCAGGGCAGUAUUUCCCAAUCAUGCUCCCUGUCACGAUCACCUCCUUCUUGUCUGGGCUCAUCAAUAUGUCAGCUGAGUUCCUGUGCUGUGAAGUUACUAAGAAAAUGUGGACCCCACACCGAGAUGAUCAUCUUAGAAAUACGCUAAA
rfam:Echinops telfairi cont1.459802, whole genome shotgun sequence.